rnacentral:rRNA from 1 species
GUGCCUAAAACAUGCAAGUCGCACGGGGUCGGACCUUCGGGUGCGGUCCAGUGGCAGACGGCUGAGUAACGCGUGGGUGACAUACCCAUCGGUGGGGAAUAACUGCCCGAAAGGGUGGCUAAUACCGCGUACGUCUGCAGCUUCGUGGCUGCAGGGAAAGCUUCGCAAGAGGCGCCGAUGGAGUGGCCCGCGUCCGAUUAGCCAGUUGGUGGGGUAAUGGCCUACCAAAGCGACGAUCGGUAGCUGGUCUCAGAGGAUGAUCAGCCAGACUGGGACUGAGACACGGCCCAG